GGGGCAUCCAGACACAACAGCACGGUGAGGCUUCAGCCCUGGGGUGGAGGUGGCUAGGAGCACGGGUGGGAACUGGCCGGUGAAAGGUUCAAGCCCUCAUUCAGUGCGAUUCCUCUCGCGGACCAAAUUACCGCGGGCACAGUACUUGGAGGCUGUGGUGAAACGGUGGAGCACAGCUCAACAGGAAAGGUGGUGUUAAGACAUCAUGGCUUUGGUAUUUGAUGCUCUGGGCAAAGACUUGCAAGACCAGGAAAAGAAAAUUACCUGCAAUGCAGGCUGCGGACCUUAGGACGUUUUAGAAAUUUGCCUCUUUGGUGCCUGGACUGGUUUUGAACCUUGGAGAAACAGGGUUUCCUUUGUGUUCAGG